rnacentral:rRNA from 1 species
AUGAACGCUGGCGGCGUGCUUCACACAUGCAAGUCGAACGAAGCACUUUAUUUGAUUUCCUUCGGGACUGAUUAUUUUGUGACUGAGUGGCGGACGGGUGAGUAACGCGUGGGUAACCUGCCUUGUACAGGGGGAUAACAGUUGGAAACGGCUGCUAAUACCGCAUAAGCGCACGGCAUCGCAUGAUGCAGUGUGAAAAACUCCGGUGGUAUAAGAUGGACCCGCGUUGGAUUAGCUAGUUGGUGAGGUAACGGCCCACCAAGGCGACGAUCCAUAGCCGAACUGAGAGGGUGACCGGCCACAUUGGGACUGAGACACGGCCCAAACUCCUACGGGAGGCAACAGUGGGGAAUAUUGCACAAUGGGCGAAAGCCUGAUGCAGCGACGCCGCGUGAGCGAAGAAGUAUUUCGGUAUGUAAAGCUCUAUCAGCAGGGAAGAUAAUGACGGUACCUGACGAAGAAGCACCGGCUAAAUACGUG